GACGAACGCUGGCGGCGUGCUUAACACAUGCAAGUCGAGCGGUAAGGCCCUUUCGGGAGUACACGAGCGGCGAACGGGUGAGUAACACGUGGGUGACCUGCCCUCAGCUCUGGGAUAAGCCUGGGAAACCGGGUCUAAUACCGGAUAUGACUCCAUGACGCAUGUUGUGGGGUGGAAAGCCUUGUGCGGCUGAGGAUGGGCCCGCGGCCUAUCAGCUUGUUGGUGGGGUGAUGGCCUACCAAGGCGACGACGGGUAGCCGGCCUGAGAGGGCGACCGGCCACACUGGGACUGAGACACGGCCCAGACUCCUACGGGAGGCAGCAGUGGGGAAUCUUGCGCAAUGGGCGAAAGCCUGACGCAGCGACGCCGCGUGAGGGAUGACGGCCU
rnacentral:rRNA from 1 species